CCUCGGCUGUUGCGACUGCGCAGGUGCCAGGAGCAAACAAACACCAUGCAAUAUUAAAGGAGAGGAGAGCGCGGGUAGUCGAAUCAAGCUGGAUUAGAGUGGAGAUGGAAGCCAGAUUGAAAGUAUCAGGGAUGGGGAAAGCAAACUGGUGCAGGACAGAUGGAUCACACAUUUGAAAGAGGUGUAUAUUUAGAGGACUGAUACAUCUAUGAGUGCAUGCAAGAUGAUGCAGUGAAUUUAAGGGGACUGUUCGGCCUUGGUGGAGAGUGCAACUCUGGUGACCAUUUCCAUCCCACCGAGGCGUGUGACACAACAAAUGUGUGUAAGUGACAAACCCCUGAUGGUGAGGAAGUGAGAUGCAUAAUAAUCUGGCUCUGAUUGUCUCAGCAGGACCCGGCAGAUUAUUUGCAGCAGGACUGCCUAUUGCAUAUAGGCACUGCAUAUUUCACACUGAGAUCACGAUGAGCAGUUGGGAUAUCUCAUCAUCAUCAAUGUGGGUCAUUUUUCUUGCUGUACUGCUCCAGCUUCAUGUUUGAUUCCAUGCCCCGUCAGUGAACAAAGAAUCCCUGCAAGAAGAGAUCAAAGGUCAUUGGGCAGAAAGCAGCGUACAGCUUUGGAUGUACUUCCAGAAUCCUCCAAUGUCUAAUGUUGCUUAUUCCAACUAAAGAUUGAAUACACAGUUGAUUUUGUGUAACAAAUGUAAAAAAGUUGUAUAAAUGAAAAUAUAAAACUAUGGAAAAUAAACUUGUUACAGAUAAACAUAGAACGCCUUAUAAUACAAAUGUCAACUUUUGGUUCACGUUGUGCAAAUUGAAAUAUACGUAUGUAAUGUCAUAGAUUUUGUAUAGCUUAAGUGUUAGUGCUGCACAUCAGAUUCCAUCCUCCUCAAACUGAAUUUGUUUUAUUUUAUUUUCCCCAAAACACCUUCUUUCUUCUAAUUUCAUUCCAAGUCAUUUCAGUUUCAAUAAAAGUGACACUAGUGUUUUGGUGGUUGUUAGUUUUUUUAAUUAAAUUGCCUGAGAGAAUUUUCAUGCAGCCAUGUUGAAUGGCUCUCAGAAAUCUAGAGCUUCAUUCAACCAACCUUGGAGCAGAUUGACAGUAGAUUUUGGUCAUGCAGCAACACAGAGGAAAUUUAAGCUUUUCAAAAUCCUGAUGGCUCACAAGGUUGCAUCUAGUAUAGAGAUUGCUUUUGAUUUGCAAACCUUAUUAUUUUCCCUCAAAAAGUGCAAUAUCUGGAGGCUCAUAAAUGCCUAAAGCCAUUACUGUGGGUAAGUGUGAUGAACCAACGAUUCACCCAGCAUCUCUCUCAACACAAACGAAGAUCAUAGAGAAAAUACUAUAAAAGUGCCGAUAAUAUCAUCAGUGUUUGUCUCUUUGCGACGGGAAAGUGGCUCUGUCCAAUCUGUCGGCCCUGCUGGGCUUUGUAAAGGCUCUCUGGCACCGGCCAGCCUGUUUCUUGUUGGUAGUUGUAGUGAACCUGAGAUCUGCUCCUGUGCUGUGUCUUGGGAAAUGGAAAGGCUUUAGUGUCUGCAUCCGGUCAGUCGGAUUUCCAUCUAGCUUGGGGUCUCAAACUUUUCUCAAAGCUUUUAAAUUAAUAAUUUUUUCUUCUCAUUCACUUACAAUAACCGGACAUAAUUUCAUAUUAAAUAUUGUCAAAUAUCUGGAUAGUCUUAAUUGUAAGCCUUCACAUUUCAAUAUACAUAGUCAUUACAUCAACAUUUAAAAUCACAAAUGAGCAUAAUAAAAGUCAUCCAUUUGAACAAUUAUCACACCCUGUCCCCAUAGCUUUCUCUUGUUCUGGCGUCAUUAUGGCUGUUUGCAUGCCUGGAUUUGUUAUCAUGAUCAAUCUUUUUUUUUAAGAACACAUUGCUAUAAAACAAGAAAUAUUUCCCUCCGUGUGCAGCAAAGUUUAUGCUUUUGCAUUCCUUACAUAGACUUGUGGGCAGUUUCUGUACCCCUCUGUCCUCUCUCUCGCUCUCACACCAGCAGUGAGCUGUGAGGCUGUGGUUUACAUUGGCACUGUGAACGUGUUAAUCUGAUUAGACCCCAGGGAAAUGAGUUUGCUUACAGUAGAGGAUGAUGGGGAUUAGUGGUCAAAUGUAAAUGGAUUCAUAUUCUGAUUGAUUUUGCCUCAUUUAUUCUCUGUCAGCCACAGGCAUGGACAUUCAAAUUAAAAUGACGUAACAAUAUUGCACACUAGGGAACCUUAACUGGUUCCCAACAACCUCCUGUCCCUGAUCAUUCCCACCAUUAAACCCCUUCCUUAGUUCCUUGUCAAAUUGUCACUGUUACUCAGGUGUGCAAACUCACCUGCUUUGCCUUCAUGUGUACAGACUUCUACAUGAAUACCGGGGUUUGGUGAUUUUUGCUUGCUCCUUGCCUGCUUUGUUUGCCUGCCUGACACAGACCACCUGGUCUCCUGUGUGCUCUCUGCCUCUGUCAGUGUCAGAGUCUCAGUCUCAAAGACAAAUCUUUGUCUUUCUGUUACUUAAACUAAUAGGGCUGAUUUCCAUUUUAAUCAGAAAUGUUUCCAAAUCGAAGUUGUUGCACAAAGGAAAUGUUGCUUUGCUCUACACUAUCUCUACCCAAUCAUCCCCCACAAGGUCAUUCAGAAUGUGCUGAGGGCUGCCAGAAUACAAAUGAAUCAGCCACUUCCCCCCAAAAAAGACUUAAAAUUGCUUUUCCAUAUAAAAGAUUUUGCAGGAUGGAAUAAAUUGAAAAUAAAUCGCACCCUCAGUUCAUUAUGCAUGACGUUCACUUUGAUAAUUAUGUUAUAUGAAGUUAUAGUAUAUGUAGUAAGGUUUUGACCUUACUAUGUCACUUGCAUUGAGAUGAUGUAUGUUUUGAUUUGGUGCAAUACAAAUAAGAUUGAAUUACAUUCAAUAAUUGUAAUGGCUGCACUAUGUGAUCCAAAUCUUGAAGGAUCUCUUCUCUUCCACUGACAGUUCAGGCUGUUUGGAAGGAAAACACACUUUUAGCAAUAAACAUACCACAAAUGUUAAUCCUUCGUUGGAAUUCUGGAGUUGAUGAUGUAAGUUGUCUAAAAUGGAGUUGAACAUGCACAUGCACUCUUUGGCUGCGCUUGAAUAGUCUGUUUUGCUCAGAAAAGUUCUGAACUGAAUAAAAAGGACCCAGAAGUAUUUCAGAUGCAGUCAUGAUAAGAGCUGGUCACACUUUCUAAAUGCUGGGCUUGAGAGCUUCUCAUCUCAUUUCCUUUAGCACAGGAUAAACUGGAACAUACUCCUUUUCCUAAGAAAGGAGAUAAGGCUGUCCCACAAUUAUUUUUGGCAGCAACAUUUCUUUCACAUCAGUCCAGUUGGGACUAAUGUUGAAAUACAAGCACAUUCAAUUUGUCUUUACAGUAUCACGUCAUAACAAAAUACUGUGUACGUAAAUAUCAUUUGACUUCAUCAUCAUCACUCAUGUGAAUUUUCUCUACUUCACAAAUAUAUAAAAGAGGUCAAACGUGGCCAGAAAACUCUAUAAACUAACUUCUCGACCUGUGCAUUUGGAUUUUCUUCACACUGCAGCUCUCUGUUCCUAACGACUUAUGAAUUCUUCUUCACAUCUUUCCCUGACCUCAUGGCCUUUUCCACCGAGGAAAAGAAAAAGUGGUUAU